GGUUUUUCGGUUUGAACCGAAAUCAACUCACCCCUAUCGGUUUGGUUCAAAAUCAAACCAAACUGAAUAAACUGAAUCCUUUGAAAUAAAAAAUAAAACAAAAACUGAUUUAAUAAAAAACUAAACCGAAUCAAACCAAAUUAUUUUGGUUUGGUUUGGUUUGGUUUGAUAGUUCGGUUUAAAAGAGAAUAAAAGAUACCCAAACUGAUCCAGGAAAAAUCAACUUUCCGUUUCCCUUUCUCUUAAAUCUCAAUAUCAAUCUUCAAUAUCAAAUCUCAACAAUUACAAAGAAGAAAACCCAAAUAGUAUCAUUUAAUGGAAGUAUCAUUAAACUCAACUCAAAUCAACAAUUGCUCUAAAAAUUACUGCAGUUUUCAUUUUGCAGCCAUGCAAGUUUCACUUAAUGGAAACACUUGGAAGUGAGGGGAAGAAAAAAGAUAAAUAAGAGAAAGAAAACCUGUAGCAAAAAAUUGAAAGAGAGAACUCAGAUUUGUGCACUUCAAGACAAAGAAUUUAGAGACAAGUUAAAUAAUAAAAAAAGCAUUUCAGAUUGGCAAUCAAAAUGGGCUCCGAUUAUGAUGGUUUGCAGGACAUCAUCAUUGUGCAGUAACUAAAGCAGGGGGAGUUCAAUGCAAAUGGGCAGACAGCUUCAAAUUCAUGCAGUUCCAGUUCUUUAACACAAGCAGCCAGCACCCAGUAGCGGCAGGGAGAGACGGUGAUUGGGACCGUCGGGCUGAUGGCUGAGGUAGGAUGCUGUGGCAACAUGGAUCGAGGAAUGGAGAAGUGCGAUUUGUGAACUGAGAGGAGAAGGAAUGAGAUAACAGAGAAGAAAUAAGGGAAACAAAGAAUAGGAGAAUAAAAAAAAAAGGAAAAUGAGUUUAUAUUACCACCCUCGUGUCCAGUGUCUCAACCCAAAGUCCCUAACAAUCAACUGCACCAUUUUAUCAUUAUUUUGGUUUGGUUUGGUUCAACUGAUUAUUUUUGUUUAAAUUGAACCGAUCCUAAAAAACUGCAUUAUAUAAAAAUUAAAACCGAACUAAACUAAACUGAAUUUUCGUAAAAACCAAUCUGAAUUUUCAAAUUAAUUCAGUUUGGUCAGUUAUUUCGGUUUGAACCGAAUAAUGCUC
rnacentral:misc_RNA from 1 species